rnacentral:rRNA from 1 species
UACAGAGGGUGCGAGCGUUAAUCGGAAUUACUGGGCGUAAAGCGUGCGUAGACGGUUAUUUAAGUCGGGUGUGAAAGCCCCGGGCUCAACCUGGGAAUUGCAUUCGAGACUGAAUAGCUAGGGUACGGUAGAGGGAAGCGGAAUUUCCGGUGUAGCGGUGAAAUGCGUAGAUAUCGGAAGGAACAUCAGUGGCGAAGGCGGCUUCCUGGACCAGUACCGACGUUCAGGCACGAAAGCGUGGGGAGCAAACAGG